rnacentral:rRNA from 1 species
CCUACGGGAGGCAGCAGUGGGGAAUAUUGGACAAUGGGGGCAACCCUGAUCCAGCCAUGCCGCGUGAGUGAUGAAGGCCUUCGGGUUGUAAAGCUCUUUUGGCGGGGACGAUGAUGACGGUACCCGCAGAAUAAGCCCCGGCUAACUUCGUGCCAGCAGCCGCGGUAAGACGAAGGGGGCUAGCGUUGUUCGGAAUUACUGGGCGUAAAGCGAGUGUAGGUGGUUUUCCAAGUUGGAUGUGAAAGCCUUGAGCUCAACUCAAGAAAUGCAUUCAGGACUGGAUGACUAGAGGACCGGAGAGGAUAGUGGAAUUCCCAGUGUAGUGGUGAAAUACGUAGAGAUUGGGAAGAACACCAGUGGCGAAGGCGGCUAUCUGGACGGUUUCUGACACUAAGACUCGAAAGCGUGGGGAGCAAACAGGAUUAGAUACCCUGGUAGUCCACGCCGUAAACGAUGGGUGCUAGACGUUGGCGAGCUUGCUCGUCAGUGUCGCAGCUAACGCGUUAAGCACCCCGCCUGGGGAGUACGGCCGCAAGGUUGAAACUCAAAUGAAUUGACGG